rnacentral:rRNA from 1 species
GACGAACCGGACAAACGUUAUUCGGAAUCACUGGGCUUAAAGAGUACGUAGGCGGCUUGGUAGGUUGGGUGUGAAAUCCCACAGCUCAACUGUGGAACUGCGCUCAAAACCACCAAGCUUGAGGGAGACAGGGGUGAGCGGAACUGAUGGUGGAGCGGUGAAAUGCGUUGAUAUCAUCAGGAACACCGGUGGCGAAGGCGGCUCACUGGGUCUCUUCUGACGCUGAGGUACGAAAGCUAGGGUAGCGAACGGG